rnacentral:misc_RNA from 1 species
AAAAGAAGUUCGAUCGUUGACAAUUCGGUACUGUAUCUACUUCGAAAUUACGGUUUAAUCAUUCGCUGAAAUAGAUGCGUCAACGUGAGGAAAUCGUUCAGCUCGACGAAGCACCGAUGGAGGCGGAAUGAAAUCUCCAUUUCGCCGAAAAUAACAAAAAUGAAUCAUCCUGUGCGUCGAUCGAAGGAUUCUUUUAAUCGGCGUUAAAUGCAUAGCAUGACGAUUUACAGAUAGAAUAUACUGAAUAUAGAGAAGGACCGAGAGAGCAGCUGUCAGCUGUGCACGAUGACAUCACACAGAUGCAGUUAUCCUCGCCGCCGGAUGGGAAUUUUACGAUGAAUUUCGAGCCAGCCUUCUCCUCGGAGUCGUUCAAAGGUCGAAAUCUACAGACUACCUUGAUACUGUCCUCCGCGGCAAUCUCACGCUCCCUCGGCGUCUCCAUUGCCAUAUUUCGGGUGCAUAGGCGACGAGAUGGUCGCGUGAACCGCAUCAAGAACCACUACCGUCUUCUCUGUCACAAACCACAGCCCGUUUUGGAGCCAGCAAAGAUGGCUGCCGUUGUUCGACGAUUUUGCGGGUGGGUUGAUUUGCGUGUGCAAAGGUGAGAAUCAACGAUCGUACUUAUGUUAGACUGGUGAAGAAACAUGGACGAUAUAAGGUGUGACACGCGGCCAGUCCUCUUCUACUAAUACAUUACUACUACUCUAUAUUGAAACACGGAAGUGAUUUUUUUGAAUAUACUUCGGGUACUCUAAAAACCAAUCGAUGAGAAGUCUAGACAAAGUUUAACGCAAACGCGUCGAACUAAACGUGCGCGCGCGCCGUACGACUUGCCUGUUUGCGCACACGAAACAGCAUUGUCGGCGGAUAUCAUACAUACGUUGUCAGGGCUGUAACCUGCGUGGGCGUCGGAUCCUUAUUCCAUUUUCUAGUCAAAUACUUUUUUGGUCAUUUUGUAGGAUGCUAAUAUUCCUCCUUGAAAAUCAAUUAUAGUUUACUUAUAACGUUUAUAAAUCAUUUUGUAUAUCCGAAAUUUGGACAUAAUGUCUGUAAUUAUUUUAUAUAACCUCUUUUUUUGCAUAAUACAUUUUUCAUUUAAUUUAGUUUACAAAUAUUGCUUUUUUGUUGACUAAUGCUUUAAGUUGUUCAAUUUGAAUCUAAAUUUGUAAUUAUACUUUUGUAGGUUAUAUGACUAUAUUUUUUAAACAGAUUUCUUAGUUUACCUAAUAAAAUAGUGUGAAUAAUCAUAAUCAUAUUAUAUAGCUUCCAUCAAAUUAUUUUUAACGAAGGAAGGACAAUUGGAUUAAAUAUUUUGAUUUUUAAUAUCGUUAAAAAUUUAUUUUUUAUCUUUCUACUAGGUGAUUCGUACUUCAAUUGCAUUUAAUAGUCCUCGAUAUAUAAAAUUUAAAUUUUGCUAUUUCUACAAUUUACGAAUGUAUAUUAAAUUGGUCAAUUUCAAGUUUUAUGCUUCCUAAUAUCAGGAUUCACAAACACAACUUGUAAAAAAAUAAUGGAAUAUUUUGAUAAUGAUAUUGCAUCAUCUAUUUAGAUAUCAAUGUUUAUUAAAACACAAUCACAAAAUAAUAUUAUUAUAUUACAGUAUU